UGUUAGUCCAUCUACUGGGGUGUACUUGC
rnacentral:piRNA from 1 species